rnacentral:sRNA from 1 species
GCCAGGUGAAGUCUUGUGUGCCUGUGGUCCCAGCUACUUGGGAGACAGAGGCAGGAGGAUUGCUUGAGCACAGGAGUUCAAGAUCAGCCUGGGCAACCUAGUGAGAAAUUGUCUCAA